rnacentral:rRNA from 1 species
GACGAACGCUGGCGGCGUGCUUAACACAUGCAAGUCGAACGGAAAGGCCCUGCUUUUGUGGGGUGCUCGAGUGGCGAACGGGUGAGUAACACGUGAGUAACCUGCCCUUGACUUUGGGAUAACUUCAGGAAACUGGGGCUAAUACCGGAUAGGAGCUCCUGCUGCAUGGUGGGGGUUGGAAAGUUUCGGCGGUUGGGGAUGGACUCGCGGCUUAUCAGCUUGUUGGUGGGGUAGUGGCUUACCAAGGCUUUGACGGGUAGCCGGCCUGAGAGGGUGACCGGCCACAUUGGGACUGAGGUACGGCCCAGACUCCUACGGGAGGCAGCAGUGGGAAAUAUUGCACAAUGGGCGGAAGCCUGAUGCAGCAACGCCGCGUGCGAGAUGACGGCCUUCGGGUUGUAAACCGCUUUCGCCUGUGACGAAGCGUGAGUGACGGUACUGGGUAAAGAAGCACCGGCUAACUACG